rnacentral:rRNA from 1 species
GAGUUUGAUCCUGGCUCARAUUGAACGCUGGCGGMAUGCCUUACACAUGCAAGUCGAACGUGAUUCAGAGCUUGCUCUGAUGAAAGUGGCGCACGGGUGAGUAAYSCGUGGAUAACCUGCCCUGGUAUCUGGGAUAAMAUCUCGAAAGGGGUGCUAAUACCGGAUAAGCCCACGGGUUCUUCGGAAUCUGCGGGAAAAGAAGGCCUCUAUUUAUAAGCUUCCGUAUCAUGAUGGGUCCGCGUACCMUUASCUAGUUGGUGGGGKAAUGGCCUACCAAGGCGACGAUGGUUAGCUGGUCUGAGAGGAUGAUCAGCUACACUGGAACUGAKACACGGUCCASACUCCUACGGGAGGCAGCAGUGGGGAAUUUUGCGCAAUGGGGGAAACCCUGACSCAGCAACGCCGCGUGAGUGAUGAAGGCUUUCGGGUCGUAAAGCUYUGUCAGAGGGGAAGAAAUGAAACSUGCUAAUAUCACGUUUUCUUGACGGUACCCUCAAAGGAAGCACCGGCUAACUCCGUGCCAGCAGCCGCGGUAAUAC